UACGGAGGAGGCGAGCGUUGUUCGGAAUCACUGGGCUUAAAGCGCGUGUAGGUGGCUCGGUAAGUAUCUUGUGAAAUCCCCCGGCUUAACCGAGGAAUCGCAAGGUAUACUGCCAGGCUUGAGGCGGAUAGGGGUGCCUGGAACUCUAGGUGGAGCGGUGAAAUGCGUAGAUAUCUAGAGGAACGCCCGUGGCGAAAGCGGGGCACUGGGUCCGAUCUGACACUGAGACGCGAAAGCGUAGGGAGCAAACGGG
rnacentral:rRNA from 1 species